rnacentral:rRNA from 1 species
UACAGAGGUGGCAAGCGUUGUUCGGAAUUACUGGGCGUAAAGGGCGCGUAGGCGGUUCGUUAAGUCCUGUGUGAAAUCCCCCGGCUCAACUGGGGAACUGCACAGGAAACUAGCGGGCUUGAGUUCGGGAGAGGGAAGCGGAAUUCCGGGUGUAGCGGUGAAAUGCGUAGAUAUCCGGAGGAACACCGGUGGCGAAGGCGGCUUCCUGGGCCGACACUGACGCUGAGGCGCGAAAGCUAGGGGAGCAAACGGG